UUGGCUUGCUGUAAGCUUCAAGAAAGAUGAAGGCAUAGAUCUACUUAAGGGCAAGCAAGCGUCACAAGGCUUGACUGAGACAACUAAAAAGACUAAAAUGGAGCUUUCAACUUUGACACAAGCAAAUAUUAGAUUGAUGGAAGUGUUCCAAAGACACGAGUUACUACAAAUUGUGGUGUAUUGAAGCCAAAAGUUGCUGCAGCUGAAUAUAUAUCUCAAUUAAAUGAGGAAGCACACUCUUCAUUUGUAAAGAAGUACAAAACUAUAAUGUGAUGGCAGUUGUAACAUCAAAUAUUUGAGGACAUGCUGACAAUACAGAAAUUGCUCUUACAAUGUACAACUGAACCUUAUGUAUUGUCUGGAGGUUGAUUCAAAAUUUGAUUUGAGUAUUAGUAAGAUGAUGUGGAAGACAAGUGUUCCAACUAUGGAUGUGUGAAGCAUAUAUAUGUUGAC
rnacentral:lncRNA from 1 species